rnacentral:lncRNA from 1 species
UCCCCCCCUCUUUCCCUUCUUUUCUUGUGAUGCCAAGAACAGAAUCUAGGACCUUGGGCAUGUGAUUUGCUGCAUGUCCUUUUGUGGCUCCAUAGCUUUUGAUAGCAAAAGGAACCUGGAGCAAGAAAAGAAGGACCACUUCUAGAAAACACAUAUGGGCACACCAUGUGUAGAGUUCAGUGUAGCAUCUUGUAAGAGGCUCAUGUUGACAUCUCCCAACUACUCCAAGAUGUCCACGUGCCACUGCUGGUAAGGGGUAUCUACCUGUCCCCUGUUCAGCAGUGUCACUCUCAGAUGACUGCCUGGUGCAGGCAUCAGCUCUGAGCAUAGUGGCUUUAGUGGGUGCCCCAUGCAGUUUGUCCCAGGACAUUUGACUGAGGACUUAGGAUUGUUGAAGAUGCUCUUAUCACCAUGGAAACUAAGCAGAUGUUGGCAGGUGGUGAUGGUUUUUUGGAGCUGAUGAAGAGACCACACUGCCUUUCUUCAGAACCAUGCCAACUCCCAGAGCUGUUCAAAGCCCACCGCCCAGAAGGAGAGGCAGUAUGGACUGCAGCGUGCCAUGAGACAGGAAGUGGCUCCUCAACAAACCUGAACAUUCGCAGAGGCAGGAGGGUCAUGCAGCUAUGGCCGGGAGAGUGGUUUCAGAGCUGUGUCACCGCUGUUCAAGAACUCACAAUAGAAGAUGCAGACACACACCUGCCAGGCAGGGAGCCAUGUCCGGGACCCCAAGGCCAAGUGAAUAGCUUCAGGAAGAUUUCACUUUCUGAGGAGCUCAGAUAGUAGUGCUGUGUGGCAGGCACUCACCUGGCUGCCUGCUCUGUGGCCCAGGCUCCGUGACCUCAGUCCAGCAAGGGCAGAGUGUGGAAUGCCACUCGGCCAUGGGAGUUUGGGAACCUUGAGAAAAAUGGUACCCAAGCUUUGUGACAGUCUACAGGUGCGCACUCGAGUGUGUGUGUGUGUGCGCAUGCAUGUGUGCCUACAUGUGUUUGUGUGUGUAUGUGCAUAUGUGUGUGGUGUGAAUGUGUGCAUGUGUGUGUGCAUGCACAUGCAUGCACGCCUGUGUGUGUUUCAUGUAUGUAUGUGCAUGUUUGUGUGGGGUGUAUUUGUGUUUGCAUAUGUGUGUGCGCGUGCGCGCUCACGUGCAUGCCAGAAAACAACCCUAGGUGUUGUUCCAUAGGCACUAUUCCUUCUUGUUGUUGUUUGUUUUUGUGGCAAGGUCUCUCAAUGGCCUGGAACUCACCAAGUAGGCUAAGCUAGCGAUUCAGAGUCCAGUGCCCUUCUGUCUCUACCUUUCCAGUGCCCAGCUCUUUGUUUGUUUUGGCUUUUCAAGACAGGAUUUCUCUGUGUAGCCCUGGCUGUCUGGAACUCACUCUGUAGACCAGGCUGUUCUCAAACUUAUAGAGAUUCCCCUGCCUCUGCCUCCCGAGAGCUAGGAUUAAGGACAUGUGUCACUACCCCGACUUACCCAGUAAUUUGUCUAUGGGCUCUCAAGAGAUUUAAUUCGGUUCUUCCAGCUCAUCAGGCAAGUACUUCACAGACCGAGCCAGUGUCUUAGCCUUCGUCCCAUCCUCCAGCUACGUGGUGUGGAGACCAUGAUCCUAAUAUGUGUGCAUGCACUUAUUUUUAAUGAACCACACAUGAACAAACGCACCAAAAUAUCACACGGGCUGUGAGGCAAAGGAAAUGAAGGCACCGUUCACAUUCUAAAAAGGCCGAGGUUAGAAUGGAAACACUGUAAAACGGUUUCCCUCCCGCGCUAACACAUCCCUCAGGCAUGUGU